AUGCCCAUUCGUUGCAACCACCUCGAUUUGGAGUCCCUAACUCAAACCUUGCCAGCUGCGCGUGCGUCUUUUCCUUUACGAUACUUGGGUCUCCUCCUCUUCGUGUGGAAGCUGAAAUUGGUGGACUUCCAAUUCCUCGUGGACAAAGUGGCAAGCAAGUUGCCAUCGUAUGAUGGUCGAAACAUCACCAACAUCGGGCGAACGACCCUCGUCAAGUCCGUGCUCACUUUCCAUGUGGUCUACCCCGGCACCCCAUUGGUCAUACCGCCAACCAUCCUCCACAACGUCAACAAGCUCGAAAGAGCCUUCCUAUGGUCCGGCUCGGAAAAAACAUCAGGGGCCAAAUGCAAGGUGAACUGGGAGAUAGUUUGCCGGCCACUUUCGUACCGAGGGCUUGGGGUCCUGAACACCGCCAAGUUUACGAGGGCUCUCCAGUUACGAUGGCCGUGA
rnacentral:rRNA from 1 species